GACCGUGCGAAGGUAGCAUAAUCCUUAGUUUUUUAAUUGAAGGCUAGAAUGAAUGGUUGGACAAGAAAUAAUCUGUCUUAAAUUAAUAUAUUGAAUUUAACUUUUAAGUGAAAAGGCUUAAAUAAUCUGAAGGGACGAUAAGACCCUAUAAAACUUUAUAUUGAAAAGUGAUAGGUAUAUUUUGUUUAAAGAAUUAUUACUUUAAAGUAUUUGGUUGGGGUGACAAAAAUAGAAGAUAAAGUAACUGUUUUUUUUUUAUACAAUAAUGUUUGGGUUAGUGAUCCUAAAAUGGAUUAAAGAUUAAGUUACUUUAGGGAUAACAGCGUAAUUUUCUUUAAGAGUUCUUAUCGAUAAGAAAGUUUGCGACCUCGAUGUUGAAUUAAAGGUUCUUUAUGGAGUAGAGACUAUAAAAGAAGGUCUGUUCGACCUUUAAAACUUUACAUGAUUUGAGUUCAGACCGGUGUGAGCCAGGUUGGUUUCUAUC
rnacentral:rRNA from 1 species